GUUAGGGAGCUACAUGCCAUAUGCUGGUAGAAACAAAUUGAUGCUUCAAGGUCACAGUUCUGCCAACUCCCCCGUGGAGCUCCCUAAGCUGCCACCCAGCUCUGAGUCUCUGCAACACUCCUCUAACAGUAUCUUCCAUGGAUACUUUCACUAUCAGUAAGAAAACCAGUGUCCUGAAGGAGCACUGGACUCCAUGAAAAUCCCUUUCCUUGCACAGUGAUCUGGAACCUUCUGCAAGUGUGCUAUGAAGGUUUGAAUAACCUUGACAUACAGAAAGUGCUACUAUUAGGAGAUCCAGAGUCCAGGGAGUUACUGCAGGUCAUCAAAUAAUAGUAACUGAAGAAUGAAUGAAGUCCAAGAUGUCUAAUCAAAAGAACACAGAUGAACAAAAAAAAAAUCAUGCUCAACAUUGCCUUUGGAGCUUCCUUGUGAACUACCAGAUAAGGCUGCAGUGGUAAUUUCUCUAGUUCAGUGCUAAGUAAUGCUACUUGACAAUAAAAUGUUUAUGACCUGGAGAUGAAAAGGGAGGGGGAAAAAAGCAACCACAAAUAAAAAUGAACAAGGACUCCUAACCCCUGUCCUUGCUCUGUGGCCCACAUGCCCAGUGUAGACACUAUUGCUACACAGCUGGGCUUUCAAGUAUUGCCUGCCAAUAUUGACAUUACCCCAUCCUAUGUAAGGAAAUCAAAGUGGGCUGGUGAACAAUCACUUUCAAAGCUAAUUGUUAAACCUGCAGGUCAGAGCUCUC
rnacentral:lncRNA from 1 species